rnacentral:snoRNA from 1 species
AUCUGAUGGUGGGGACAGUUUGCACAAAGUGUCUUGAAUCUCUCCCAAUACUCAUAUAAGCUCUCUCCACCAAACUGCCUAAUCCUAGUUAUGUCUUUCCUGAUAGCU